AUAACUUGGACUGAAUGCAGGAAUUAUUGCACAUCCUUUUUGGUACAAUUAUAACUUUCUUACUAAUGGCCU